UACGUAGGUAGCGAGCGUUGUCCGGAUUUACUGGGCGUAAAGGGCGUGCAGGCGGUUUGUUAAGUGCAGAGUGAAAGCUCCCGGCUCAACUGGGAGAGGUCUUUGCAUACUGGCAAACUCGAGGGAGGCAGAGGAAAGUGGAAUUCCCGGUGUAGUGGUGAUAUGCGUAGAUAUCGGGAGGAACACCUGUGGCGAAGGCGGCUUUCUGGGCCUUACCUGACGCUGAGACGCGAAAGCGUGGGGAGCGAACCGG
rnacentral:rRNA from 1 species